rnacentral:miRNA from 1 species
UUAAUGUAUUAUAUGAUUGU